GAAAUGCGAUAAGUAAUGUGAAUUGCAGAAUUCAGUGAAUCAUCGAAUCUUUGAACGCACCUUACGCUCCUUGGUAUUCCUCGGAGCAUGCCUGUUUGAGUAUCAUGAAAUCUUCAAAGUAAAUCUUUUGUUAACUCAAUUGGUUUCUACUUUGGUAUUGGAGGUCUUUGCAGCUUCACACCUGCUCCUCUUUGUUCAUUAGCUGGAUCUCAGUGUUAUGCUUGGUUCCACUCGGCGUGAUAAGUUAUCUAUCGCUGAGGACACUGUAAAAGGUGGCCAAGGUAAAUGCAGAUGAACCGCUUCUAAUAGUCCAUUGACUUGGACAAUACUUUUAUGAUCUGAUCUCAAAUCAGGUAGGACUACCCGCUGAACUUAAGC
rnacentral:misc_RNA from 1 species